CAAUUGUGGACGAUCUAGCACUUGCUCAAAGUUCGGUGAAUGAAGAGGACCUAGUACUUCUAUAUACUUGGCGCUACCUCUCCGGCUUUUGAUGCCACUGUGUAUCGGCAAGCCAUU